rnacentral:rRNA from 1 species
GAUGAACGCUGGCGGCGUGCCUAAUACAUGCAAGUCGAGCGAACAGACGAGGAGCUUGCUCCUCUGACGUUAGCGGCGGACGGGUGAGUAACACGUGGAUAACCUACCUAUAAGACUGGGAUAACUUCGGGAAACCGGAGCUAAUACCGGAUAAUAUAUUGAACCGCAUGGUUCAAUAGUGAAAGACGGUUUUGCUGUCACUUAUAGAUGGAUCCGCGCCGCAUUAGCUAGUUGGUAAGGUAACGGCUUACCAAGGCAACGAUGCGUAGCCGACCUGAGAGGGUGAUCGGCCACACUGGAACUGAGACACGGUCCAGACUCCUACGGGAGGCAACAGUAGGGAAUCUUCCGCAAUGGGCGAAAGCCUGACGGAGCAACGCCGCGUGAGUGAUGAAGGUCUUCGGAUCGUAAAACUCUGUUAUUAGGGAAGAACAAAUGUGUAAGUAACUAUGCACGUCUUGACGGUACCUAAUCAGAAAGCCACGGCUAACUACGAG